rnacentral:rRNA from 1 species
AGAAUCAACGCUGGCGGCGCGCUUAACACAUGCAAGUCGAACGAGAAAGGGGAGCAAUCCCUGAGUACAGUGGCGUCCGGGUGAGUAACACGUGGGUAAUCUACCCUCUGGUGGGGAAUAACCCUGGGAAACCGGGGCUAAUACCGCAUAUCUCCGUGAGGAGAAAGCCGAAAGGCGCCGGAGGAGGAGCCCGCGGCCGAUUAGCUUGUUGGUGAGGUAACGGCCCACCAAGGCAAAGAUCGGUAGCCGGCCUGAGAGGGCACACGGCCACACUGGCACUGAAAUACGGGCCAGACUCCUACGGGAGGCAGCAGUGGGGAAUCUUGCACAAUGGGGGAAACCCUGAUGCAGCGACGCCGCGUGAGCGAUGAAGCCCUUCGGGGUGUAAAGCUCUUUCGGCGGGAACGAUAAUGACGGUACCCGCAGAAGAAGCUGCGGCUAACUACGUGCCAGCAGCCGCGGUAAUACGUAGGCAGCGAGCGUUGUUCGGAGUUACUGGGCGUAAAGAGUAUGUAGGUGGUUCUCUAAGUUCCGUGUGAAAUCUCCCGGCUCAACUGGGAGGGUGCGCGGGAAACUGGAGGGCUCGAGUAUGGGAGAGGAAAGCGGAAUUCCUGGUGUAGCGGUGAAAUGCGUAGAUAUCAGGAGGAACACCUGCGGUGUAGACAGCUUUCUGGACCAUCACUGACGCUGAGACACGAAAGCGUGGGUAGCAAACAGGAUUAGAUACCCUGGUAGUCCACGCCCUAAACGAUGCAUACUUGGUGUGAGCCGUUCAUUCGGUUCGUGCCGGAGCUAACGCGUUAAGUAUGCCGCCUGGGGAGUACGGUCGCAAGGCUGAA